rnacentral:rRNA from 1 species
GAUGAACGCUGGCGGCGUGCCUAAUACAUGCAAGUCGAGCGAACAGACGAGGAGCUUGCUCCUCUGACGUUAGCGGCGGACGGGUGAGUAACACGUGGAUCACCUACCUAUAAGACUGGGAUAACUUCGGGAAACCGGAGCUAAUACCGGAUAAUAUAUUGAACCGCAUGGUUCAAUAGUGAAAGACGGUUUUGCUGUCACUUAUAGAUGGAUCCGCGCCGCAUUAGCUAGUUGGUAAGGUAACGGCUUACCAAGGCAACGAUGCGUAGCCGACCUGAGAGGGUGAUCAGCCACACUGGAACUGAGACACGGUCCAGACUCCUACGGGAGGCAGCAGUAGGGAAUCUUCCGCAAUGGGCGAAAGCCUGACGGAGCAACGCCGCGUGAGUGAUGAAGGUCUUCGGAUCGUAAAACUCUGUUAUUAGGGAAGAACAAAUGUGGAAGUAACUAUGCACGUCUUGACGGUACCUAAUCAGAAAGCCACGGCUAACUACGUG